UACGGAGGGUGCAAGCGUUGUCCGGAUUUAUUGGGUUUAAAGGGUGCGUAGGCGGCUCUUUAAGUCGGUGGUGAAAUACUGCAGCUCAACUGUAGCAUUGCCAUUGAUACUGAAGAGCUUGAGUACAGAUGAGGUAGGCGGAAUUUAUGGUGUAGCGGUGAAAUGCAUAGAUACCAUAAAGAACACCGAUUGCGAAGGCAGCUUACUAAGCUGUAACUGACGCUGAGGCACGAAAGCGUGGGGAGCGAACAGG
rnacentral:rRNA from 1 species